UGGCUCAGUGGUAGAGUGCUUGCCUUGCAUGCAUGAGGCCCUGGGUUAAAUUCCCAC
rnacentral:tRNA from 1 species